rnacentral:sRNA from 1 species
ACAGCAGCUACUACACCCAUCAGCCGAUAUGCACUAUAACCUGGCGAUAUCGGGAUAGGAGAGAGAGGUGGCCAUCUGAAAUAGGGAAAAGGAAGACAAAUUCUGCAAAGAAAGAAGCUCUAAUAAAUUUUUUUUUUUAAAAAAAAAAAACCCUUCCAGACCGGCCCCCAACAAACAGGCAGUAGCCAUGUCCCCUACCCCCUAGACCUAGACAACAACUCCCCGAUGCAACCCCCAGACCAUUGAGGAGAUCCAGGAGCUCGUGGUAAAAUACGCAACGGCAGUCAAGAGGACGGCGGAAGCCAGCUUCGACGGCGUGGAGAUUCAUUGCCUAGCUUCUGCUUCCCCCCUUCAAUCCUGCGCUUUCGUUUUCUUUCCUUUUUCUCUUCCCAUUCCCAUUCUCUUCUCUUUUAACCCUUUUUUUUUAAAAAAAAAAAAAAAAAAAAA